AAGUUACAAGAAAUUAUAAGAAUAGCUACUAGCUUCUUUAGCAGCUCUUUCUGACUCUUGUAGCUAACAAAAAGCUAGCGCUUUAGUGCAAGGCUAACUUAUAAUUUUUUAUGUUGAAUAGAAAAUUGUGCGAACAGAUGAUGCUAUGAAAGAUUCUGAAGAGGCCUUCAAUGUGAGUCAAAUAGCCAUAACUUACAGCUGGAAUACACACACAGACAGCUUUACCAUAUCCCUCGUGCGGCUACGCCUCGAGGUAUAACAAUUUGCUGUUGUUCUAUUAAUUUUCUCUUAAAAUUAUACUUAAAUACAACUCUGCGCGAGGCAUGUCUAGUAUGUAUAUGUGAAUUACUCGUCAUAGAUCUAAUUAGCGAUAGUUGAUAAAUAUAGUCUCCGCAUGGUCCUGAAGAAAACAAGACAUCACUAACAUCACUAUAACACAUAAAUAACUGCAAACUUACGACAGAACAGCAUUAAAGUGCAAACCCUCGGCUGGGGACAUGAUUACAAAGAAACCAGAAGAAUGAUAUAAUACAGUGCAUGUAGUGGUGUUAUCAUGUAUGACGUAACUGUCCUAGCACAGAAACUCAGGAACAAUAAAACUAAACCAGAUGCUGAAACAUUUGAGAACAGGGUUUUAGUGGCACCAGGAGCACAUUACAGAAGGAGCGUCUCACCUCGGGAAUUGCAUCUCAUGGAAGUUUGCAAAGCAUGACCUUAUAUGCAAAACCACUAAGUGGGUCUGCGGGCGAAUGCUAAUUGAGCUGACGGUGCACUUUUACCAAGCAUAGGUCAAUAAAAGUGAAAAGCUACAGCUAGCUAGCUAGCUAUAGGCCUGUCUCUCUUCUAAGAACCCCCCCUACUGCAAAAACAAAACGCCUAGUAUGUGUUAGUCUAAGUCUAGCAAACUUUCUCUGUACAAAGUGACUGGAUAUGCUCCUAUUUUAGAACUUUCUGUACCUCACCGAUGACAGUCUCUUCCAUGAUAUAUACCAACAUCCAUCAAAGAUCUAGCUAUUCAUUUUAGCUCUUUCUGGCUCAACCUAGCUCUCCUGCUGCUGCACUACAUACAAAAUCCGUUUAUAAUGAUAUUCACAGGCUGACCGCGGUCUGUAAUUUAUGUACACAGUACUUACACACUUUUCUUAUAAGGCAAUGCGGCGUUUAGGAAAGCACACGAGAUGCGAUUUCCGAACCCAUGCACAGUUAGACGCUCCUUCUGUAAUGUGCUUCUGGCAUACAACACAAAAAGCAUACAACAACACACAAAAAAAUCCUAUGGCCUACAUAGGCUAUACUUAUUUUAGCCAAUGCUCUUCUUUCCUUGCUUACUUUUUGCUUAGGCCACUCCAAGUGAUACUCUGGUUUCUGGUCCUGAAGUUUUUCUAAUUGCAUGCGGGCGGGCGGCUUUUCUUUAUCAAGUUUACCUUAUGAAUCUCAUUAUUUUGCAAAUGAAUAUCAUUAUCACACUAUUUUGUACCACAUGGACCAUUAUGCGCAUGCGUAGUAGAAAUAAUGAGAUAGAAAUCCAAUAAUGAGAUAGAAAUCCAAGAAUAAAAUCUGAUGCGGGCGGUGGACCAGAAACCAGAGUAUCACUUGGAGUGGCCUUACUUUGAGUCAUAGAAGCUCAUGCACUGAUUCUGCAUCAGUUGCUGAUACUAAUAGCAGCAUGCAGAAUCAGUGCAUUAGCUUGCACCAGAUGGCUGCUGUCUUCUUUGAGGAGGCUUGCAUAGUCUCAGAUCCAUGCAUCACCACUGCAUGCUAGAUUCACUGUCAUCAAGUCUUAUCUGAACUAGAUCUACAUGUAUUCAUAAUUAUCACUCCUAGAUCGUGGAGAUUCAGCCACGUGUGUAGUGUGGCCUCCUACUGAGCAUGCUAUAAGCAAAAGUAGAUUAGCAACUGGUCGGAGAGAGGUAAGUGGUGGUCGGAUUGAAGAGAACGGUGCAUGGUCGGAUCUAACCACCCCCAAUCAGUGUGGGCUGAACCCUGCCGUAUAUGCUUGAUCAGGAGCCGCGGCUACUAAAUGUUUCUUUUGCUAGAAGAGGCGGCUGGCUACAAUUCGAGAGAGGCCACUGUUCAAGAGCAGCGUUUAUUAGCUCCAGCUAAUUCAACAACCAUUAGUUUGUCAUCAAAAGUUCUUUUCACCUGCAUAAACUUGAACUCUGCCAUGAGGGAGUCUUUUUUUUUUUUUUUUUAGAUGCAUUGCAUACAGGCAAGGGCGAGAAGAGGGCAUGCAACUCACCCUAUUCUCAGAAUCAUCCGACUUCGUAUUGAGCUAUUUUUAGAACUGCCCACAAAAACGCCUACGCAUAACAUUUGACCGCACAAGGUAAAUCAAGAUCUUUUUUUAUAUCUGCAGCUAGCUAGCUCGAUUGCAGCAUGGAUAGAACUAGUUCUCAGCAGCAGUAUGGCUCGUACUAGCAGUGUCAAAGGCAAAGGCAAACCAUCCAACAGUUGCAACGCCAAGAAGAUGAAACCUACCUGUCUUCCUGAGUCUCUGGUACUUCUUAACAAUACGCCCAGCACUUAACUUCCCUCUCGAAGGGGUUGUCUUGGACCUGGCUGGACUAGGACUGGUCAUGACACUUCUCUAAAAUAGCUAGACUAGCUAGCGCUUUAGCAUGCAAGGCAGCUAGCUAGCUAGCUAGCUAGCUCUGAUGUACACGCCCAUAAUUAUAACUCCGUAAAUAACACCGCCCAUUUGUUCCCGUCCGUAUACUGGAUUGUAUAUCCGGUCUUUGAUACGAAGUCGGAUGAGUACGUACGGCACAUAAUGAGUUGCAUGCCCUCUUCUCUGUAUACGCCCUUGAUACAGGGAAGGACAGAAAUAGCUUAUUAUAGCUAAUGGUAAUGUCAAGUAGCACACUAACAAGCUGCCUAGUAGCUAUGUACAUGUAGCUAGCUGCUAGUAUCAAUAAUUUUUUUGGCUGCCACGUACAGAAAUGCUAGAGUCAAAGUUCACUGAGGCUACUAUUUGAGAGCGGCUACUAAAUGUUAGCAAGGGAGGCUACUAUUUGAGUGUGGCCUUUAUACAAGAUCGGCCUCUGAUCGAGCAUAUACGGUAUGCACUGUGGACUAGGAUCACAGCAAAGAAGCCUAGAAGUAUUGCUCCUGUAUGGAUCCCAGAGUCAGCUAGCUAACAGGGCCAGGGACAACAAACCAAUCACAAUUCUAGCUUUCUAUUGUAGUGACCGUUUUCCAGCUACAACAUAUUAAAAAAAAAAAAUGUCCAUGAAAACAUGAGGUGGUGGGUUUAGGGGGAUUAAUUUAGAACAGCAAAUUGUUAUAGUGGGAGUAAGCUUAACCCUUUCCCGGCUUUGGACGACAUAUGUCGUCCAGCGGACCGAGAUUUUUCAAAAAUUUGCUGUGCAGGCUGUGUUGGAGCUAUGCGCACGCUGUAGGUACCAGCACAUGCGCAUUGAGCUGCUCUUUCACGUGGUAUUUUCAACAUCUUGCUUUGAGGUACGCUUUGUGCAGUACUGUCGAAAGAAAAGUGACCGUUUGAUGAUGACUUCAAGAUCUUUGUAGUACAACCUCAGUGGGGCUCUAGAGCUGCUAGACAGUGAGAAUAUCGAUGCUUAUGGCCUUGUAGAGUGAGAGGACAGUGACUGGGAUCGUAGCUAGGUAGGAAGCUACCUCAAGCUAAAAAAUAAAGAGCCUGAGGAGCCUGAAGGAGCUGGACCAAGUUUCUGGAUCUGGUGAAGAACGUUUCCCGGGAAAAGGGCGUCUGCUGAUACGACCUCGCAGAGAAGUUUCGGCAGAUCCUGAUCGAACUAUGUCACCGUGAGAACAUUGAGAACACUUACUUAGUGUCUAUAGUCACUUUGUGCCUUCGUAUAAUAUUGUUUGUGUACAUAAUUGUGAAUGUUUGUAAACAAUC